CGUGUGUUGGGGGAUAGCCUCGGUGUCAGCCAUCUUUCAAUUGUGUUCGCAGCCGCCGCCGCGCCGCCGUCGCUCUCUAACGCCAGCGCCGCCUCUAGCUCGCCGAGCUCCAGCCGAAGGAGAAGGGGGGUAAGUAAGGAGGUCCUAUACCAUGGCUCGUACAAAGCAGACUGCCCGCAAAUCGACCGGUGGUAAAGCACCGAGGAAGCAACUGGCUACAAAAGCCGCUCGCAAGAGUGCGCCCUCUACUGGAGGGGUGAAGAAACCUCAUCGUUACAGGCCUGGUACUGUGGCACUCCGUGAAAUUAGACGUUAUCAAAAGUCCACUGAACUUCUGAUUCGCAAACUUCCCUUCCAGCGUCUGGUGCGAGAAAUUGCUCAGGACUUCAAAACAGAUCUGCGCUUCCAGAGUGCAGCUAUUGGUGCUUUGCAGGAGGUAAGUGAGGCCUCUCUGGA